UACGAGGGGGGCUAGUGUUGUUCGGAAUCACUGGGCGUAAAGGGAGCGUAGGCGGGCGUUUAAGUUAGGUGUUUAAUCCCGGGGCCCAACCCCGGACCGGCACCUAAAGCUGGACGUCUUGAAUAGUGGAGAGGUCGGUGGAAUUGGAGGUGUAGCGGUGGAAUGCGUAGAGAUCUCCAAGAACACCCGUUGCGAAGGCGGCCGACUGGACACAUAUUGACGCUGAGGCUCGAAAGCAUGGGGAGCAAACAGG
rnacentral:rRNA from 1 species